rnacentral:rRNA from 1 species
UGGGGGAAUAUUGGGGCAAUGGGCGAAAGCCUGACCCAGCGACGCCGCGUGAGGGAAGAAGGUCUUCGGAUUGUAAACCUUAGUCAACAGGGAAGAAGAAAGUGACUGUAGUACUUGAAUAAGCCACGGCUAACUACGUGCCAGCAGCCGCGGUAAUACGUAGGUGGCAAGCGUUAUCCGGAUUUACUGGGUGUAAAGGGCGCGUAGGCGGGGAUGCAAGUCAGAUGUGAAAAUCUAUGGGCUUAACCCAUAAACUGCAUUUGAAACUGUAUCUCUUGAGUGUCGGAGAGGUAGACGGAAUUCCUAGUGUAGCGGUGAAAUGCGUAGAUAUUAGGAGGAACACCAGUGGCGAAGGCGGUCUACUGGACGAUAACUGACGCUGAGGCGCGAAAGCGUGGGGAGCAAACAGGAUUAGAUACCCUGGUAGU